GCUGAAAGAUCCCUUCCUCGAGGAUUUUGCUGGGCCCCCAGCCAAGAUCCAGUAAGCUGUUGCGGGAGCUGUAGCCUGAAUGAAUACAGUAGCUAAGGCCCAUCCGUCGGCUCUUGGGCUACGGUAUUCUUUCCUGCCACCCCUGGUGGAUUCCUUGGCCCCACAUGGCCUUUCUCUUACCCUCUCCCGGCUGCUGCUUAUUCUGGCUUUUGGCUCAGAGCCCAGAAGGGAGGCUCCUUGAAUAAUUCUCACUGAGCUUAGGACAUCUGCUUUUCCCGACAAGUUGCGGUCAUCUCAUCUGGAUCUCCACAACAGCUUCCUAAAGGAUCUGGAUCUUACCUCUAAUGAUGUGCCACCAUUCCCUCCAACUAAACUUCUGAAGUGAAACUAGAUCUUGUCAUUCAAACCCUGUAAGGAUUCCCCAGUGUCCUCUGCUUGAAGUUCAAAUUCCUUAGCAAAAUCCAUCUGGUCCGAUACACUAUGAACCAACCGUAACAGACACCUGCAGCCCCUUAACAGCAUGAUGCCUUUUCUGCUCCUUGGGCCUUUGCGUAUUUUAUUCCCUCCACCCAGAACAUCCUUCCUUCCCAUCCCACUGACUUGUUCUUCAGGUCUCAGUCUAAAAACAUCAUCCUGGGAAAUCUCUGACCCCUUGCUCAGCUGGAUUAGCCCUCUCUGAUUUUACAACGUCUCGUGCUUUCCCCUAUCAGGCAAGUUUUACACUUAAAAUCAGUCUUUUGUCUCUCAAUGUAUUUAUAACCUCAAGGUUGGUAAUCAUGUCUUGUUUGACAUCCUUAACAAGUAGCAGACGCUAGACCUAUAGUAAGUGCUCAAUAAAUGUGUGUUGAAUAAUAAAAGACAUUUGGAAAGGAACAUCCCUUCUGCUACUGCUGGUAAUAAAUUGUAUGUUGUUUCAUUGUCUUGAAGAGCUUGUAUUAUAAAAAUGAAAUAAGCUGAUUCUGGAAAAUAAGUCCUUUUUGGGAACUUGACAGACUGGAGAAAUUAAAGUAUCUGGAGACAUGGAGGCCAGCUCAUGGUGGCACUACUACCGGGCCCAU